rnacentral:lncRNA from 1 species
AAAAUAACCAAAAAUGAAAAAAAUGAUUUUAAAAAAGUGAGAAAAAUGUAUGUGAUACAAAAUACUUUUAGAGACCUUGUGUAAAUAAUUUGGAUCAAAAUGGAUUAAAAAUGAGUGCAAAAUUAAUUUAGAAAUAAAAGGAAUAAAAUAAAAUAAAAUAAAAAGAACUUAGGGUGCAAACGGCUACUAAAAUUAAAAAAAAA